GAGGGAUGAUGAGAGUCAGACAGGUUUCGCAUAUUAAGCUGAACUGCUGUGAUGUCACUUCCUCUUGGCUGUCUGACCAA